UCGAAGGGGGAGGCUGUGGGGGGGCUUGUCAAUAACUUCAUUACAAAAAUUUCGCAUCAUAUAACAUAUCAAGUAGUUAGGCACCGACUCGUGAGGCCACUCGAAGGGCCACUUGUGCCCAUUUAGGCUAAGUAUUACUUCCGCUUCCUCGUCUGCUGCCAGACAAAGCGCACUGCUCUUAUGUUGGCCGAAAAUUGUUGCAUACUUUUAUGGGCGCCAGACAUGCAAAUCACAAGUCUCAAGACUCGCCAUUCGCUCUUGCACAUAAAUUAUAUAUAAUAUUAAGUUGUUUUUGGUUAUCUUUUGUAGCCCAAAAGUCAAAUUACUUUAUUUGGCUAAGAUGUCUGAACAUCCAGUAAAAUGCUAGACAGAGUUAUUCUGUAAAGUUUUGAGUUCUUUUGGUCAGAACUUUUAGUUUAUUUUUAAAUUUACAUUUUCGUAAAAGCAUUAGGCAAUAAACAUUCUGUAAUGUAAUUUAA